rnacentral:rRNA from 1 species
AACGAACGCUGGCGGCGGGCCUCAUACAUGCAAGUCGAGCGCGAAAGUCCGCAAGGAUGAGUAAAGCGGCGCACGGGUGAGUAACACGUGGGUAAUCUACCUUUUGGAUUGGAAUAACCUGUCGAAAGACGGGCUAAUGCCAAGUAAGUUCUUUGGAACGUGGAGUUUUGAAGAAGAAAGAUGGCGCAAGCUAUCGCCGAAAGAUGAGCCUGCGUCCCAUUAGUUAGUUGGUGGGUAANGGCUUACCAAGACAAUGAUGGGUACCUGGUCUGAGAGGAUGACCAGGCACACUGGAACUGAACACGGUCCAGACUCCUACGGGAGGCAGCAGUAGGAAUAUUGCGCAAUGGACGAAAGUCUGACGCAG